rnacentral:rRNA from 1 species
GCUUGUCUCAAAGAUUAAGCCAUGCAUGUCUAAGUGUAAAUACGUCUACACUGUGAAACUGCGAAUGGCUCAUUAAAUCAGUUAUCGUUUAUUUGAUGAUCUCUUGUUACAUGGAUAACCGUAGUAAUUCUAGAGCUAAUACAUGCGUCAAGCCCCGACUUCGGAAGGGGUGUAUUUAUUAGAUAACAGACCAAUAUUCCUCGUGUCUAUUGUGGUGAAUCAUAGUAACUAAUCGGAUCGCAUGGGCUAGUCCCGCGACAAACCAUUCAAGUUUCUGCCCCAUCAGCUUUCGAUGGUAGUGUAUUGGACUACCAUGGCUAUUACGGGUAACGGAGGAUUAGGGUUCGAUUCCGGAGAGGGAGCCUGAGAAACGGCUACCACAUCCAAGGAAGGCAGCAGG